CUCAAAUUCUGAUGGAGAUUGAAGAAGAAAGAUAUCUCUGAAGGUUUGGUCCUUUGUAUUGGGAGUUGUGCCCAAAGUCAAUCGUCAGUUUAUUGACGAUUGUGCUCAUAUUUGUAACUUGUAUAUAAAUAUUUAUUAAUAAAAAUUAUUUAAUUUUUUUAUCACAUUUUGUCUAUCUUCUUUGAACUUCUGUAUUGUGAUAAAGUCCUUAGGAUUAUAUUUAAUCGACAAAAGAGGAUUUGUCGUUUAGUCUUUAAAACAUGUUUGUGACCAAAUGAUAUGCUACUAAUAGGAUGAUAGCGAUAUCGAGUAUAAAUCAUUAUGUGCCAUAUAGGUUGGUUGUCCUCUUAACUAAAAAGUGUGAAGAUAUUAGUUUGGCAUGC
rnacentral:lncRNA from 1 species